GACGAGGGAUCCUAGCGUUGUUCGGAAUUACUGGGCGUAAAGCGCGUUCAGGCGGUUUGGCAAGUCGGGCAUGAAAUCUCUCGGCUCAACCGGGAGAGGUUGUCCGAUACUGCUGGACUUGAGGGCAGUAGAGGGUGGUGGAAUUCCGGGUGUAGUGGUGAAAUGCGUAGAUAUCUGGAGGAACACCGGUGGCGAAGGCGGCAUCCUGGACCGGUAUUGACGCUGAGGCGCGAAAGCCAGGGGAGCAAACGGG
rnacentral:rRNA from 1 species